rnacentral:rRNA from 2 species
CGGAGUUACAAAGGAACGAAGUAAAUGAAGCGACCUGGAAAGGUCCGUCGAAGAAGGUAACAACCCUGUAGUUGAAACUUCGUUCCCUCUUGAGUGGAUCCUGAGUACGGCGGAACACGUGAAAUUCCGUCGGAAKCUGGGAGGACCAUCUCCCAAGGCUAAAUACUACCUAGUGACCGAUAGUGAACCAGUACCGUGAGGGAAAGGUGAAAAGCACCCCGGAAGGGGAGUGAAAAAGAUCCUGAAACCGUGUGCCUACAAGUAGUCAGAGCCCGUUAAUGGGUGAUGGCGUGCCUUUUGUAGAAUGAACCGGCGAGUUACGAUCCCAUGCAAGGUUAAGCUGAUAAGGCGGAGCCGCAGCGAAAGCGAGUCUGAAUAGGGCGUUUAGUAUGUGGUUGUAGACCCGAAACCAGGUGAUCUACCCAUGUCCAGGGUGAAGUUCAGGUAACACUGAAUGGAGGCCCGAACCCACGCACGUUGAAAAGUGCGGGGAUGAGGUGUGGGUAGCGGAGAAAUUCCAAUCGAACCUGGAGAUAGCUGGUUCUCUCCGAAAUAGCUUUAGGGCUAGCCUCAUGUUGUAAGAGUCUUGGAGGUAGAGCACUGAU